rnacentral:misc_RNA from 1 species
AGGAACUGAACCGUCUCAUGACAAAUACUUAACCACGAUUCAAUUGGUAUAACUAUUAAGAUAACCGCAAAAGGAGAUAAAAGAAACAUGAUAGAAAAUACUUUCACGGUGUUAAUGGAAUUUAUAUAAACGUCGACUACGGUAAUUUUCCAUUUGGAAAAGAAAUUUUCCUAAUUCAUGUAAAUUAAUAAUACUUGUAAAUACUUGGGAGAUCGGUUGGUUUUGUGAAUAAUGUGUUUGAGAUAUUGCACGGAUUAAACGAAUUGUUUCGAGAGAAAGGAAGCAGUUUCUCUGGAAAAAUUUCUAGGCGGAAACUAUGCGCAGCGCAUAGACAACUUAUAAUCAGUGAAUGUAGUCGUCCUUCCAGCUGUGAACUCGGAAAUAUAGAAAAAGUAGUGUGUUACGUUAUGCGUCAUAUGCAUUUGUUAUCUCAAAUCCAUUCGCAUGAUUAACCUCAUCCACUGUUCUC